UAUCUUCAGGAUACCUCAUUUUGUUAAUAAACUCUACUAAUUGCAGUAAUCUUACAAUAAUAGUUUGGUUAGUUCGCUACCGCAGUUACGUAUAUUUUUUUUUUUCGUUCUUGUAAUGCAAUUUCACAAGCUCAUCUGCAGUCAAUGUUUUUCUGUCAAAUUUGUAAAUCUUACGUCUACGGGUGCAUGUUCAGCAUCACUCUCAUCGUCAGAGAAUAGUUUCAAUUUUUUCAAUCCAUUCUUGCUGUGAAUACUAUUGGCAUUGUUUGUA